UACGAAGGGGGCUAGCGUUGCUCGGAAUGACUGGGCGUAAAGGGCGCGUAGGCGGUUCGAUUUGUUAGGUGUGAAAUUCCUGGGCUUAACCUGGGGGCUGCACUUAAAACGGUCGGGCUUGAGUUCGGAAGAGGGUCGUGGAAUUUCCAGUGUAGAGGUGAAAUUCGUAGAUAUUGGAAAGAACACCGGUGGCGAAGGCGGCGACCUGGUCCGAUACUGACGCUGAGGCGCGAAAGCGUGGGGAGCAAACAGG
rnacentral:rRNA from 1 species